AACGCACAUUGCGCCCGCCAGUAUUCUGGCGGGCAUGCCUGUUCGAGCGUCAUUACAACCAUCAAGCCCCGUGCUUGUGUUGGGGACCUGCGGCUGCCGCAGGCCCUGAAAGACAGUGGCGGGCUCGCUAGUCACACCGAGCGUAGUAGCAUUAUCUCGCUCAGGGCGUGCUGCGGGUUCCGGCCGUUAAACACCCCCCACAUCAAGGUUGACCUCGGAUCAGGUAGGAAGACCCGCUGAACUUAA
rnacentral:misc_RNA from 1 species